GUAGGGAAUAUUGGGCAAUGGAUGCAAGUCUGACCCAGCCAUGCCGCGUGCAGGAAGAAGGUCCUCUGGAUUGUAAACUGCUUUUUUGGGGGAAGAAUAGUUUUCUUGCGAGGAAAUGUGACGGUACCCUAAGAAUAAGCCACGGCUAACUACGUGCCAGCAGCCGCGGUAAUACGUAGGUGGCAAGCGUUGUCCGGAUUUAUUGGGUUUAAAGGGUGCGUAGGUGCUUUGAUAAGUCAGUGGUGAAAGCCGGUUGCUCAACAAUCGAGUUGCCAUUGAUACUGUCGGACUUGAGAGAAGUGGAGGUUCAUGGAAUGGAUGGUGUAGCGGUGAAAUGCAUAGAUAUCAUCCAGAACGUCGAUUGCGAAGGCAGUGGGCUGUACUUUAUCUGACACUGAGGCACGAAAGUGUGGGGAUCAAACAGGAUUAGAAACCCGGGUAGUCC
rnacentral:rRNA from 1 species